rnacentral:rRNA from 1 species
AUUGAACGCUGGCGGCAUGCUUUACACAUGCAAGUCGAACGGUAACAGGCCUUCGGGUGCUGACGAGUGGCGAACGGGUGCGUAAUGCAUCGGAACGUACCCAGAGGUGGGGGAUAACGCAGCGAAAGCUGUGCUAAUACCGCAUGUGAUCUGAGGAUGAAAGCGGGGGACCGAGCAGCAAUGUUUGGCCUCGCGCCUUUGGAGCGGCCGGUGCCGGAUUAGCUAGUUGGUGGGGUAACGGCUUACCAAGGCGACGAUCCGUAGCGGGCCUGAGAGGACGACCGGCCACACUGGAACUGAGACACGGUCCAGACUCCUACGGGAGGCAGCAGUAGGGAAUCUUGCACAAUGGGCGCAAGCCUGACCGAGCAAUGCCGCGUGAGUGAAGAAGGUCUUCGGGUCGUAAAACUCUGUUAGCAGGAACGAACCGAUGUGUGCGUAAAUCGGCACCUAAUGACGGUACCUGCACAAUAAGCACCGGCUAACUACGUG